GACGAACGCUGGCGGCGUGCUUAACACAUGCAAGUCGAACGGUAAGGCCCUUCGGGGUACACGAGUGGCGAACGGGUGAGUAACACGUGGGUGAUCUGCCCUGCACUUCGGGAUAAGCCUGGGAAACUGGGUCUAAUACCGGAUCGGACUCCUGGCUUCCUGGUUGGGGGUGGAAAGCUUUUGCGGUGUGGGAUGGGCCCGCGGCCUAUCAGCUUGUUGGUGGGGUAAUGGCCUACCAAGGCGACGACGGGUAGCCGGCCUGAGAGGGUGACCGGUCACACUGGGACUGAGAUACGGCCCAGACUCCUACGGGAGGCAGCAGUGGGGAAUAUUGCACAAUGGGCGCAAGCCUGGUGCAGCGACGCCGCGUGAGGGAUGACGGCCUUCGGGUUGUAAACCUCUUUCAGCUAUGACGAAGCGCAAGUGACGGUAGUAGCAGAAGAAGGACCGGCCAACUACGUGCCAGCCGCCGCAGUAA
rnacentral:rRNA from 1 species